GGUAGUCCACGCCGUAAACGAUGUCGACUUGGAGGUUGUGCCCUUGAGGCGCGGCUUCCGGAGCUAACGCGUUAAGUCGACCGCCUGGGGAGUACGGCCGCAAGGUUAAAACUCAAAUGAAUUGACGGGGGCCCGCACAAGCGGUGGAGCAUGUGGUUUAAUUCGAUGCAACGCGAAGAACCUUACCUACUCUUGACAUCCAGAGAACUUAGCAGAGAUGCUUUGGUGCCUUCGGGAACUCUGAGACAGGUGCUGCAUGGCUGUCGUCAGCUCGUGUUGUGAAAUGUUGGGUUAAGUCCCGCAACGAGCGCAACCCUUAUCCUUUGUUGCCAGCGGUUAGGCCGGGAACUCAAAGGAGACUGCCAGUGAUAAACUGGAGGAAGGUGGGGAUGACGUCAAGUCAUCAUGGCCCUUACGAGUAGGGCUACACACGUGCUACAAUGGCGCAUACAAAGAGAAGCGACCUCGCGAGAGCAAGCGGACCUCAUAAAGUGCGUCGUAGUCCGGAUUGGAGUCUGCAACUCGACUCCAUGAAGUCGGAAUCGCUAGUAAUCGUAGAUCAGAAUGCUACGGUGAAUACGUUCCCGGGCCUUGUACACACCGCCCGUCACACCAUGGGAGUGGGUUGCAAAAGAAGUAGGUAGCUUAACCUUCGGGAGGGCGCUUACCACUUUGUGAUUCAUGACUGGGGUGAAGUCGUAACAAGGUAACCGUAGGGGAACCUGC
rnacentral:rRNA from 1 species